rnacentral:rRNA from 1 species
UACGUAGGCAGCGAGCGUUGUUCGGAGUUACUGGGCGUAAAGCGUGCGUAGGCGGUGGUCCAAGUCUGGUGUGAAAUCUCCCGGCUUAACUGGGAGGGUGCGCCGGAAACUGGGCCGCUGGAGUACGGGAGAGGCAAGCGGAAUUCCAGGUGUAGCGGUGAAAUGCGUAGAUAUCUGGAGGAAUACCGGUGGCGAAGGCGGCAUCCUGGACCGGCAUUGACGCUGAUGAGCGAAAGCUAGGGGAGCAAACGGG